CGAGUGAGUCGUGUGUCCGGCAGUGGCCCGGACGAAGGUUGCUGCUGCUGUUCCUGUUGUUCCUGUUAACUAGUGUGUUUUAAAUUCGGUGUUCGUUCAACGCGUCCAACAACUCUGUUACUUGGAACCAACAACCAUCUCGCGAGUUCUUCUUCCUCUCCUCAAUUUUCUGAAUAUUCAAGAAAGAAUUAGAGAGAGAGAGAGAGACA
rnacentral:lncRNA from 1 species